AGUGAACGCUGGCGGUAGGCCUAACACAUGCAAGUCGAACGGCAGCACAGAGGAGCUUGCUCCUUGGGUGGCGAGUGGCGGACGGGUGAGGAAUACAUCGGAAUCUACUCCGUCGUGGGGGAUAACGUAGGGAAACUUACGCUAAUACCGCAUACGACCUACGGGUGACAGCAGGGGAUCUUCGGACCUUGCGCGAUUGAAUGAGCCGAUGUCGGAUUGGCUAGUUGGCGGGGUAAAGGCCCACCAAGGCGACGAUCCGUAGCUGGUCUGAGAGGAUGAUCAGCCACACUGGAACUGAGACACGGUCCAGACUCCUACGGGAGGCAGCAGUGGGGAAUAUUGGACAAUGGGCGCAAGCCUGAUCCAGCCAUACCGCGUGGGUGAAGAAGGCCUUCGGGUUGUAAAGCCCUUUUGUUGGGAAAGAAAUCCAUCUGGUUAAUACCCGGGUGGGAUGACGGUACCCAAAGAAUAAGCACCGGCUAACUUCGUGCCAGCAGCCGCCGUAA
rnacentral:rRNA from 1 species